rnacentral:rRNA from 1 species
UCCUACGGGAGGCAGCAUUGAGGAAUAUUGGUCAAUGGGCGCAAGCCUGAACCAGCCAUCCCGCGAGAAGGAAGAAGGCCCUACGGGUUGUAAACUUCUUUUCUGUGAGAAGAAUAAGCUCGUCGAGACGAGUGAUGUCGGUACGACAGGAAUAAGCAUCGGCUAACUCCGUGCCAGCAGCCGCGGUAAUACGGAGGAUGCAAGCGUUAUCCGGAUUUAUUGGGUUUAAAGGGUGCGCAGGUGGUUUAAUAAGUCAGUGGUGAAAGUCUGGCGCUUAACGUUAGGAUUGCCAUUGAUACUGUUAGCCUUGAAUAUGGAUGAGGUAGGCGGAAUGUGUAGUGUAGCGGUGAAAUGCUUAGAUAUUAGCACAACACCGAUAAAAAGGCAGCUUACUAAUCCAUC